rnacentral:rRNA from 1 species
UACGGAGGGUGCAAACGUUGCUCGGAAUCACUGGGCGUAAAGCGCACGUAGGCGGCUCGAAAAGUCGGAUGUGAAAGCCCUGGGCUCAACCCAGGAAGUGCAUUCGAAACUGCCGAGCUUGAGUACGGGAGAGGGUUGCGGAAUUCCCGGUGUAGAGGUGAAAUUCGUAGAUAUCGGGAGGAACACCAGUGGCGAAGGCGGCAGCCUGGACCGAUACUGACGCUGAGGUGCGAAAGCGUGGGGAGCAAACAGG